UACGGAGGGUGCAAGCGUUAUCCGGAUUCACUGGGUUUAAAGGGAGCGUAGGCGGGCAGGUAAGUCAGUGGUGAAAUCUCCGGGCUUAACCCGGAAACUGCCAUUGAUACUAUCUGUCUUGAAUAUCCUGGAGGUAAGCGGAAUAUGUCAUGUAGCGGUGAAAUGCUUAGAUAUGACAUAGAACACCGAUUGCGGAGGCAGCUUGCUACACAAAUAUUGACGCUGAGGCACGAAAGCGUGGGGAUCAAACAGG
rnacentral:rRNA from 1 species